rnacentral:rRNA from 1 species
UACGUAGGGGGCUAGCGUUGUCCGGAAUUAUUGGGCGUAAAGAGCGCGUAGGCGGUCCGGUAAGUCGGUUGUGAAAGUCGGGGGCUCAACCCUCGGAUGCCGAUCGAUACUGUCGGGCUAGAGUCCGGAAGAGGCGAGUGGAAUUCCUGGUGUAGCGGUGAAAUGCGCAGAUAUCAGGAGGAACACCGAUGGCGAAGGCAGCUCGCUGGGACGUGACUGACGCUGAGACGCGAAAGCGUGGGGAGCAAACAGG